UGCAAGUCGAACGGUCUUUCUAUGGAAGCUUGCUUCCACUGAGAAGAUAGUGGCGAACGGGUGAGUAACAACGUGGGUAACCUGCCCAUAAGAGGGGGAGUAACAUCCGGAAACGGGUGCUAAUACCGCAUAGUUUUCUUGAUCGCAUGAUCGGGAAAGGAAAGACGGCCUUUGUGCUGUCGCUUAUGGAUGGACCCGCGGCGUAUUAGUUAGUUGGUGAGGUAACGGCUCACCAAGACGAUGAUACGUAGCCGACCUGAGAGGGUGAUCGGCCACAUUGGGACUGAGACACGGCCCAAACUCCUACGGGAGGCAGCAGUAGGGAAUCUUCCGCAAUGAACGAAAGUCUGGCGGAGCAACGCCGCGUGAGUGAAAGAAGGUUUUCGGAUCGUAAAACUCUGUUGUCAGAGAAGAACAAGUUGGAGAGUAACUGCUCCAGCCUUGACGGUAUCUGACCAGAAAGCCACGGCUAACUACGUGCCAGCCGCCGC
rnacentral:rRNA from 1 species